AAACAACAGUGUUCUUGAAAUCCUACAUAUCUCCUUUCAGUUUUCAACACCCUUACCAGCAUUCAGAUAAACCAAAUCCUUUUUUAUUUUGUAAAAGAAGAGGUCUGCAGGUCAGGUUAUUACCUGAGAUAGCACGGUCUCUUUCUGCAUCUCUGUGCAUUAUCCCCAUGUAAAGGAGUAAUGCAGAACUCCUCACCAGUGGUUCUGAGGAGCAAUAGAAUGCAAGAAGCAGGGAAUAGAUACGACCUUGACUCCAUCUCAGCCAGCUGGAGAACUUGGAAGAGCAAAGUUCAUCAAGGCUUGUUUCAUUGAUGCCAUCAAUCACUACAAACCUUACAGGGAUAGUUGAAGGCAUGGAAAGGAAAAGCCGAUAGUGAUUGUUGCUGAAUAUUAGAAGGUAAAAGAAACAGUCAUUUCUCAGCUCUGGAACACCGGUGAAGUUUAUGACCACAGACAGAGCAAUUCUGUGGGUGCGUGGCUCACUGCUCUAAUGGACUCAGACACUCACUGUGCCUCGGAGCAUUUGGCACAGAGGCCACCAGCACGUAGCUCUGCUCAUGCCUCACUGUAACGAUGCUGGAGGCAGUUAGGUGUGAUAGCCCA
ensembl:lncRNA